rnacentral:rRNA from 1 species
GGACGAACGCUGGCGGCGUGCCUAAUACAUGCAAGUCGAACGGUAACAGGAAGAAGCUUGCUCUUGCUGACGAGUGGCGGACGGGUGAGUAAUGUCUGGGAAACUGCCUGAUGGAGGGGGAUAACUACUGGAAACGGUAGCUAAUACCGCAUAACGUCGCAAGACCAAAGAGGGGGACCUUCGGGCCUCUUGCCAUCGGAUGUGCCCAGAUGGGAUUAGCUUGUUGGUGGGGUAACGGCUCACCAAGGCGACGAUCCCUAGCUGGUCUGAGAGGAUGACCAGCCACACUGGAACUGAGACACGGUCCAGACUCCUACGGGAGGCAGCAGUGGGGAAUAUUGCACAAUGGGCGCAAGCCUGAUGCAGCCAUGCCGCGUGUAUGAAGAAGGCCUUCGGGUUGUAAAGUACUUUCAGCGGGGAGGAAGGGAGUAAAGUUAAUACCUUUGCUCAUUGACGUUACCCGCAGAAGAAGCACCGGCUAACUCCGUGCCAGCAGCCGC